CUAAGCAUUCCGCCUGGGGAGUACGUUCGCAAGGCUGAAACUCAAAGGAAUUGACGGGGGCCCGCACAAGCGGUGGAGCAUGUGGUUUAAUUCGACGCAACGCGAAGAACCUUACCCAGGCUCGAACGGCAGAUGACAUCUUACGAAAGUAGGCUCCCGCAAGGGCAUCUGUCGAGGUGCUGCAUGGCUGUCGUCAGCUCGUGUCGUGAGAUGUUGGGUUAAGUCCCGCAACGAGCGCAACCCUUGUCUUCUGUUGCCAUCAGGUCAAGCUGGGCACUCUGAAGAGACUGCCGGUGACAAACCGGAGGAAGGUGGGGAUGACGUCAAGUCAGCAUGGCCUUUAUGUCUGGGGCCACACACGUGCUACAAUGGCAGGUACAAACCGUCGCGAGACCGCAAGGUGGAGCUAAUCGGAUAAAGCCUGUCUCAGUUCGGAUUGUCGGCUGCAACUCGCCGGCAUGAAGUUGGAAUCGCUAGUAAUCGCGGAUCAGCACGCCGCGGUGAAUACGUUCCCGGGCCUUGUACACACCGCCCGUCACAUCACGAAAGCUGGCUGUACUAGAA
rnacentral:rRNA from 1 species